rnacentral:ncRNA from 1 species
AAAGUGGCCUACGCUACGGCCAUGGACUGGUUCAUUGCCGUCUGCUACGCCUUU